rnacentral:miRNA from 1 species
UGAGGCAGGAGAAUUGCUUGAACCCAGGAAGUAGAGGUUGCAGUGAGCCAAGAUUGCAGCCACUGUACUCCAGCCUGGGUGACAGGGCGAGACUCAGUCU